AGGCUCGUAGUUAAACGGCAUAACAGCGGUCUCCAAAACCGCGGUUGGGGGUUCGAUUCCUCCCGGGCCUGCCA
rnacentral:tRNA from 1 species